rnacentral:rRNA from 1 species
UAAGGCUUGCUCUUAGCCACGUUCGAAUCGAGUGUCGGCU